rnacentral:rRNA from 1 species
GACGUAGGGCGCGAGCGUUGUCCGGAUUUAUUGGGCGUAAAGAGCUCGUAGGCGGCUUGUCGCGUCGACUGUGAAAACCCGCGGCUCAACUGUGGGCUUGCAGUCGAUACGGGCAGGCUGGAGUUCGGUAGGGGAGACUGGAAUUCCUGGUGUAGCGGUGAAAUGCGCAGAUAUCAGGAGGAACACCGGUGGCGAAGGCGGGGUCUCUGGGCCGAUACUGACGU